AACGGCAGCUAGCUCUCUGCAACUCUCACAUGGUCGCCCACUGAAGCUAAGCAGGGCUGCGCCCGGUCAGUACCUGGAUGGGAGACCACAUGGGAAAGCUAGGUUGCUGCCGGAA
rfam:Danio rerio chromosome 4, GRCz11 reference primary assembly.